AUUGAACGCUGGCGGCAGGCCUAACACAUGCAAGUCGAGCGGAUGAAGGGAGCUUGCUCCUGGAUUCAGCGGCGGACGGGUGAGUAAUGCCUAGGAAUCUGCCUGGUAGUGGGGGAUAACGUCCGGAAACGGGCGCUAAUACCGCAUACGUCCUGAGGGAGAAAGUGGGGGAUCUUCGGACCUCACGCUAUCAGAUGAGCCUAGGUCGGAUUAGCUAGUUGGUGGGGUAAAGGCCUACCAAGGCGACGAUCCGUAACUGGUCUGAGAGGAUGAUCAGUCACACUGGAACUGAGACACGGUCCAGACUCCUACGGGAGGCAGCAGUGGGGAAUAUUGGACAAAGGGCGAAAGCCUGAUCCAGCCAUGCCGCGUGUGUGAAGAAGGUCUUCGGAUUGUAAAGCACUUUAAGUUGGGAGGAAGGGCAGUAAGUUAAUACCUUGCUGUUUUAACGUUACCAACAGAAUAAGCACCGGCUAACUUCGUG
rnacentral:rRNA from 1 species